CCUACGGGUGGCAGCAGUGAGGAAUAUUGGUCAAUGGGCGUAAGCCUGAACCAGCCAAGUCGCGUGAGGGAUGAAGGUUCUAUGGAUCGUAAACCUCUUUUAUAAGGGAAUAAAGUGCGGGACGUGUCCCGUUUUGUAUGUACCUUAUGAAUAAGGAUCGGCUAACUCCGUGCCAGCAGCCGCGGUAAUACGGAGGAUCCGAGCGUUAUCCGGAUUUAUUGGGUUUAAAGGGUGCGUAGGCGGCCUUUUAAGUCAGCGGUGAAAGUCUGUGGCUCAACCAUAGAAUUGCCGUUGAAACUGGGAGGCUUGAGUAGGUUUGAGGGAGGGGGAAUGUGUGGUGUAGCGGUGAAAUGCUUAGAUA
rnacentral:rRNA from 1 species